AGCGAACGCUGGCGGCAGGCCUAACACAUGCAAGUCGAACGAAGUCUUCGGACUUAGUGGCGGACGGGUGAGUAACACGUGGGAACGUACCUUUUGGUUCGGAACAACUCAGGGAAACUUGAGCUAAUACCAGAUGAGCCCUUAGGGGGAAAGAUUUAUCGCCGAAAGAGCGGCCCGCGUUAGAUUAGCUAGUUGGUGGGGUAAAAGCUCACCAAGGCUACGAUCUAUAGCUGGUCUGAGAGGAUGAUCAGCCACGCUGGGACUGAGACACGGCCCAGACUCCUACGGGAGGCAGCAGUGGGGAAUCUUGCGCAAUGGGCGAAAGCCUGACGCAGCCAUGCCGCGUGAAUGAUGAAGGUCUUAGGAUUGUAAAAUUCUUUUACCAGGGACGAUAAUGACGGUACCUGGAGAAAAAGCCCCGGCUAACUUCGUGCCAGCCGCCGCUGUAACAC
rnacentral:rRNA from 1 species